rnacentral:misc_RNA from 1 species
UCACUGUCUCAAGCUUGGCUUGUUGUUGGGCCCUUUGUCACCUGGUGACAGGUCCAAAAGAUAAUGGCCGGUGUCAUACAGACGCUAUAUGCAACGAGCUUUCACAGCACGCAUCUGGCUGUCAUGUGGCCCGGUCUUCACCUCUUACUUUCUCAA